rnacentral:rRNA from 1 species
CCUGCCCUUAAGUCUGGGAUACCAUUGGAAACAGAUGCUAAUACCGGAUAACAACAGAUGAUGCCUAUCAACUGUUUAAAAGAUGGUUCUGCUAUCACUCUUGGAUGGACCUGCGGUGCAUUAGCUAGUUGGUAGGGUAACGGCCUACCAAGGCGAUGAUGCAUAGCCGAGUUGAGAGACUGAUCGGCCACAUUGGGACUGAGACACGGCCCAAACUCCUACGGGAGGCAGCAGCC